rnacentral:lncRNA from 1 species
AAAACUACAAUUAACUACAAAUUUAAUUCAACAGUAUAAUUUGCCAAUUAAAUUUGAGUCAACUGUGACAGUUCCAAAUAAACAUUACAUUAAACUACAUUAAACUACAAAAAACUACAAUUAACGUAAAAUUUGAUUCAACAGUAAAAUUUGCCAUCAAAUUUGAGUCAACACUAACAGUUCCAAAUAAACAUUACAUUAAACUACAUUAAACUACAAAAAACUACGAUUAACUACAAAUUUAAUUCAACAGUAUAAUUUGCCAAUCAAAUUUUAGUCAACUGUGACAGUUCCAAAUAAACAUUAUAUUAAACUACAUUAAACUACAAAAAAACUAUAAUUAACGUAAAAUUACUCUCCCCAAACCCCACUUUGUGGGACUAUACUGAGU